rnacentral:ribozyme from 1 species
UGCUCAGCAACUCCUAUCCCUAGCUCUUCACGGUACUGGCCGGAUUACGAGCAACCUUAGGGAAACCAACCCCGGUGGGAGCUUUGGUCGUAUGCUGACAGCGUGGA